CCUACGGUAGUCAGCAGUGGGGAAUAUUGCACAAUGGGGGAACCCCUGAUCCAGCGACGCCGCGUGAGUGAAGAAGUAUUUCGGUAUGUACAGCUCUAUCAGAAGGGAAGAAAAUGACGUUACCUGAUUAAGAAGCCCCGGCUACCUACGUGCCAGCAGCCGCGGUAAUACGUAGGGGGCAAGCGUUAUCCGGAUUUACUGGGUGUAAAGGGAGCGUAGACGGCAGCGCAAGUCUGGAGUGAAAUGCCGGGGCCUAACCCCGGAACUGCUCUGGAAACUGUGCAGCUGGAGUGCAGGAGAGGUAAGUGGAAUUCCGUGUGUAGCGGUGAAAUGCGUAGAUAUUAGGAGGGACACCAGUGGCGAAGGCGGCUUACUGGACUGUAACUGACGUUGAGGCUCGAAGGCGUGGGGAGCAAACAGGAUUAGAUACCCCUGUAGUC
rnacentral:rRNA from 1 species